rnacentral:rRNA from 1 species
AUACGAAGGGGGCUAGCGUUGUUCGGAAUUACUGGGCAUAAAGCGCGCGCAGGCGGUUUUCCAAGUCAGUGGUGAAAGCCCAGAGCUCAACUCUGGAACUGCCAUUGAAACUAGAAAACUAGGGUACGGGAGAGGUGAGUGGAAUUCCGAGUGUAGAGGUGAAAUUCGUAGAUAUUCGGAAGAACACCAGUGGCGAAGGCGGCUCACUGGCCCGUUACCGACGCUCAGGCGCGACAGCGUGGGGAGCAAACAGGAUUAGAUACCCCGGUAGUCC